UACGUAGGUGGCAAGCGUUGUCCGGAUUUAUUGGGUUUAAAGGGUGCGUAGGCGGUUUUGUAAGUCAGUGGUGAAAUACUCCAGCUUAACUGGAGGGGUGCCAAUGAUACUGCAGAACUUGAGUACAGAUGAGGUAGGCGGAAUUGACGGUGUAGCGGUGAAAUGCAUAGAUAUCGAGAGGAACACCUGCGGCGAAGGCGGGUUGCUGGGCUGACACUGACGCUGACAGCGCGAAAGCUAGGGGAGCGAACGGG
rnacentral:rRNA from 1 species